AUACGGAGGACGCGAGCGUUAUCCGGAUUCAUUGGGUUUAAAGGGUGCGCAGGCGGCCGUGCAAGUCAGCGGUGAAAGCCCGGGGCUCAACCCCGGAAGUGCCGUUGAUACUGCAUGGCUGGAAUGCGGUCGAGGCGGGCGGAACGGGGCGUGUAGCGGUGAAAUGCGUAGAUAUGGCACAGAACGCCGAUAGCGGAGGCAGCUCGCCAGGCCUGCAUUGACGCUCGGGCACGAAAGCGUGGGGAUCGAACAGGAUUAGAUACCCUGGUAGUCCACGCCGUAAACGAUGGGCGCUCGUCGUCGGCGGCAGACAGUCGGCGGCCAAGCGAAAGCGAUAAGCGCCCCACCUGGGGAGUACGGUCGCAAGGCUGAAACUCAAAUGAAUUGACGGGG
rnacentral:rRNA from 1 species